AUUGAACGCUGGCGGCAGGCCUAACACAUGCACGUCGAGCGCGCGGCGGACGGGAGUGAAAUGUCUGGGAAUUGCCCAGGAGAGGGGGAUCACAGUGGGACACGACUGCUAACACCGUAUAAGCGUGGAUCCCCCAUGGGGGAUUCGCUAGUUGGUGGGGUAAUGGCUCAUCAAGGCGACGAUCCCUAGGUGGUAGGAGAGGAUGAUCAGCCACACUGGAACUGAGACACGGUGCAGACUCCUACGGUAGGCAGCAGGGGGGAAGAUUGCACAAUGGGGGAAACCCUGAUGCAGCCAUGCCGCGUGUGUGAAGAGGGCCUUCGGGUUGUAAAGUACUUUCAGCGGGGAGGCGUUACUCGCAGAAGAAGCACCGGCUAAAUCCGUGCCAGCAGCCGCGGUAAUAC
rnacentral:rRNA from 1 species